AGAAAAAAAAAAGAAAAAAUUGAAAGAAAAGAGAGAGAGAAAAAAAAGAAGAAAAAGAAGGAGCCUGACACGAAGGAUGAGUCCCGAGGAAUUCGAGGGGUAGGAGUUGCUGUCUCUUUAUUGAGGCGGAUGCAUAAUUGAGGUGCCUUUCCUGGCCGGGUUUUCCCCUGUGGGUUGUCCCGGCUGCAAGGCACAGCUCCGGGCCAUGCCGCGCCGUCGGUGCACCGCCUCGGCCCCCGCCCGCUCGCCACGGGGACGCGAGUCCCCGCCAUCACACACGCGUGGAGGAGAAGGAAGAGAAAGGAGAAGGCGCCGAGAAGAGGCUUGCUUCCCGGUUGCCCACCUCGGUUCAUCGCCUCUCAGGCUGUCGACAGGGAGCGGGGAGCGGAGACUCGCGGAAGCCCCAUCGAAGCUGCGUUUUUGCAGGGGUGUGCAUGUGCUCCUCUGUAAUGAAAGCUGAGAAGCAGACCUUCGUCCACCGUGGUAGACAUAGCCACAUGCCCGGGUUUUACAAGGAUUUUCCAGAGCGUGGGCAUUUCACUGAGCGACCACCGCAGUGCUACAGAUGCCCGGGUGCGGGCUGGUGGCAGCACCGGGUCCCAGACACACAGGCCUGAACGUACACAUGUGUUUCGAUGCACAUAUACGGAUUUCAAUUGCACGGACGGCAGAGGAAUACCUUCGGAUUAACCGUGGAUAAGAUUCUCCCAGUCUUAGACAACGAAUUAAUGCAAGAACUGAAAUCUCUAUUUAUCCUUUUGCUUCCAACAUAAAUUGUAUAAUUUAUCAUCUAAAUAUGGGGCCCCACAGACUUCUGCAUGCCGUUUUGCUCCAUCAGCGAAAGGAAAACUUAGAAUCAAUUCAACAGGUCUCUUGUGGUUUGGAGAAAGGCAAGUUUGACUAUUUUGAUUUAAAAAAACAACACAAUAUUCCCUCUGAAUUCAGCUCAGUGAUACAAUUUCUGAAACUGGCUAGACACUGCAUUAUAAAAAUCACAAAUUUUAAAAGUCUUCCGUGCAGUCCAGUCCGUAUUUUUUUCUACU